UCCGAUUUCCCCAGCUUGGAGUCUGUCAGAAUCACCGACGGCAUUCUCACUGUGGGACAGAAGUCACUGUGGGGUGUGGUAGACUGUGCCAUGGCCCUGCAAUGACGUCUGUGCCCUGACACCUGCCUGGAACCUAUGGAUAGGUUGUUACAUGACCGAAAGGGACUUGGCAGGCACUUUGUUACACCAGAAAUAGACAACCAAUACCCUGAGCCUCCAGAGUAUGGACGCUGACCUACCAAGCCCUUUGGCUAAUAUGUACAUUCACCAAGCGUGCCGGAAGUGUCCCCUUCAUCACCAUUUGCAAACGUCAACUGAGAGCUGGACACCAGGCUAGUGGUUCCCACGUUCCUCUCGUCCCUAAACAUCAAGAGCUCUUACUGUGUGGUCACCCAGCCCCAUUAGCCAUUAGGCCUUGGCCCCUAGGCGGCCCAUCAGGGUAAAUUAAAACGAAAACAUUU